rnacentral:rRNA from 1 species
AGAGUUUGAUCAUGGCUCAGAUUGAACGCUGGCGGCAGGCCUAACACAUGCAAGUCGAACGGUAACAGGAAGCAGCUUGCUGCUUCGCUGACGAGUGGCGGACGGGUGAGUAAUGUCUGGGAAGCUGCCUGAUGGAGGGGGAUAACUACUGGAAACGGUAGCUAAUACCGCAUAAUGUCGCAAGACCAAAGAGGGGGACCUUCGGGCCUCUUGCCAUCGGAUGUGCCCAGAUGGGAUUAGCUUGUUGGUGGGGUAACGGCUCACCAAGGCGACGAUCCCUAGCUGGUCUGAGAGGAUGACCAGCCACACUGGAACUGAGACACGGUCCAGACUCCUACGGGAGGCAGCAGUGGGGAAUAUUGCACAAUGGGCGCAAGCCUGAUGCAGCCAUGCCGCGUGUAUGAAGAAGGCCUUCGGGUUGUAAAGUACUUUCAGCGGGGAGGAAGGGAGUAAAGUUAAUACCUUUGCUCAUUGACGUUACCCGCAGAAGAAGCACCGGCUAACUCCGUGCCAGCAGCCGCGGUAAUACGGAGGGUGCAAGCGUUAAUCGGAAUUACUAGGCGUAAAGCGCACGCAGGCGGUUUGUUAAGUCAGAUGUGAAACCCCCGGGCUCAACCUGGGAACUGCAUCUGAUACUGGCAAGCUUGAGUCUCGUAGAGGGGGGUAGAAUUCCAGGUGUAGCGGUGAAAUGCGUAGAGAUCUGGAGGAAUACCGGUGGCGAAGGCGGCCCCCUGGACGAAGACUGACGCUCAGGUGCGAAAGCGUGGGGAGCAAACAGGAUUAGAUACCCUGGUAGUCCACGCCGUAAACGAUGUCGACUUGGAGGUUGUGCCCUUGAGGCGUGGCUUCCGGAGCUAACGCGUUAAGUCGACCGCCUGGGGAGUACGGCCGCAAGGUUAAAACUCAAAUGAAUUGACGGGGGCCCGCACAAGCGGUGGAGCAUGUGGUUUAAUUCGAUGCAACGCGAAGAACCUUACCUGGUCUUGACAUCCACGGAAGUUUUCAGAGAUGAGAAUGUGCCUUCGGGAACCGUGAGACAGGUGCUGCAUGGCUGUCGUCAGCUCGUGUUGUGAAAUGUUGGGUUAAGUCCCGCAACGAGCGCAACCCUUAUCCUUUGUUGCCAGCGGUCCGGCCGGGAACUCAAAGGAGACUGCCAGUGAUAAACUGGAGGAAGGUGGGGAUGACGUCAAGUCAUCAUGGCCCUUACGACCAGGGCUACACACGUGCUACAAUGGCGCAUACAAAGAGAAGCGACCUCGCGAGAGCAAGCGGACCUCAUAAAGUGCGUCGUAGUCCGGAUUGGAGUCUGCAACUCGACUCCAUGAAGUCGGAAUCGCUAGUAAUCGUGGAUCAGAAUGCCACGGUGAAUACGUUCCCGGGCCUUGUACACACCGCCCGUCACACCAUGGGAGUGGGUUGCAAAAGAAGUAGGUAGCUUAACCUUCGGGAGGGCGCUUACCACUUUGUGAUUCAUGACUGGGGUGAAGUCGGAACAAGGUA